AAACUAUAAUGUCCGAUACAAUGUCCCCACAUACGAUUUUAACGUUAUGUAACAAAAUAUACAAAAUUUACGUCAAUUGUCAUUAUUGCGGUUUUCACAGACGUUUCAGAAUACAGGUAAUUUUUGUUGUUUGUUGAGAAAACUUCAAAUGUUUUAAGUAAAAGCUCAAUACCGAUCCAUGGGAGGGGGCAAUAAUUCCUCGCGGAACUGCAUGAAGUGUUUUCCGGAAUUUUAAUAGUUUAUUGACUAUAAAUGCACAUUUUUACCCAUAUGGGUUGAAGGCAUACAUACAUGUAAAUCAACAUAAUAAUUUUACAAUACAUCAUACAGAAAAAAAACAACAAAAGAACAAAACAUUAUAUAUUAUAUAUGUAUAUUAUACAUAUAUGUAUCUAUCAUGCAGUUGUUGAGUCCACCCUCCUCAGUGACCAUGACUUUUUAACAAAUGAAACAGC
rnacentral:lncRNA from 1 species